GCCGCAAUAGCUCAGUUGGUAGAGCAACUGAUUCGUAAUCAGUAGGUCAGAGGUUCGAUUCCCCUUUGCGGCA
rnacentral:tRNA from 1 species